GCCCCAGUACGCAGGGCGGAGACUGUGCCGACAUGGAGUUGGGUCUCGCGGGCCGCCGGGUGCUGGUCACCGGGGCGGGCAAAGGUGGGCGGCGGGGAAAGGUCGGUAAAGGCCGGCGGAGGGCAGAGGCGGGCAGGGGAUGCCCUCACUGAGCCGCGCUCCCGGCAGGUAUCGGGCGCGGCACGGUCCAGGUGCUGCACGCGGCGGGCGCGCGGGUGGUGGCUGUGAGCCGAACACAGGCGGAUCUUGACAGCCUCGUCCGCGAGGUCACCAGCCCCAGUCCCCAGCUGUGCCGCUUGCUGGGCACAGAGCCUCUGGUAACUGCCCCCUGAUGCACACAGUGCCCGGGGAUAGAGCCCGUGUGCGUGGACCUGGGUGACUGGGAGGCCACCGAGCGGGCGCUGGGCAGCGUGGGCCCCGUGGACCUGCUGGUGAACAACGCCGCUGUCGCCCUGCUGCAGCCCUUCCUGGAGGUCACCAAGGAUGCCUUUGACAGAUCCUUUGAAGUGAACCUGCGUGCGGUCAUCCAGGUGUCACAGAUCGUGGCCAGGGGCUUAAUAGCCCGGGGAGCCCCGGGGGCCAUCGUGAAUAUCUCCAGCCAGUGCUCCCAGCGGGCAGUAACUAACCAUAGCGUCUACUGCUCCACCAAGGGUGCCCUGGACAUGCUGACCAAGGUGAUGGCCCUAGAGCUCGGGCCCCACAAGAUCCGAGUGAAUGCAGUAAACCCCACAGUGGUGAUGACGCACAUGGGCCAGGCCACCUGGAGUGACCCCUGCAAGGCCAAGACUAUGCUGGACCGAAUCCCACUUGGCAAGUUUGCUGAGGUAGAGCAUGUGGUGGAUGCCAUCCUCUUUCUGCUGAGUGACCGAAGCGGCAUGACCACGGGCUCCACUCUGCCGGUGGAAGGGGGCUUCUGGGCCAACUGAGCUCCCUCCACACACCUCAAACCCCAUGCCGUGCCCAUCCUACCCCCAAUCCCUCCAAUAAACCUGAUUCUGCUGCCCAGGCUAUGUGCUAUUCCUAGGCUGCCAGCAGGUAGCUGGGGGCUUGGGGCCUGGUAUGGAAUGCGGGCAGAGACCCAUGAGAUUCAUAUUCCAAUCCAAGGCGGAGCCUGGCUCCCACUCCUGAGGUCUUCAGGCUUGGCCAGUUUGCUGUCAGGGAGGUAGGAGGUGGUGAAAGGCCAACUCCUAAAGAGGGUGGUGAAUUUCAGCAAGGUUGGCCUUUGGACCUGUCCAGAACCUCUGGGGUGAGACAGUGUGUGCUUGUUGAUCACCCGCUCUGUGAGUAUACGGUUGGCUCCUCUUCCUUUAAGCUAAUGAGUAAGACAAAAGGGAAACAAGGAGGAUGUCAAGCUUCUCCACUUCGUCAGUGACCUGAGCCACUUUGUUGAAUCAGAUGGUUUUUGGAUACUAGAAGAGCAUUUCCUCAACUUGUGCUGUUCACAAUGUAAUGAGCAGACACAGCACCCUGAAGUCUAAUCUACAUUUUAAUCAUCUUAAGUCUAGACAAGUAACUGUAAAUCAAGUCCCAGUGUGAAGAAUUUGCCAAUUCCCAUGGUGUAAAUACUCCCACCACAGCUGAUUUCCAGCUACCAGUUAGAUGUCAUUGAAUGGGGAGCUGGAAGAGAUGCCCUCAGCACCCCGUUAUGUGGUGUCUGUGUCCAUAGGUGCCGCAGAUGUACAUAACCCGGGGCAGAGAAAACAGUCCUACGUGCAGAAAUAACUAGGAAGUGAUGUUUGUUGAUUUUGCUUUUAAUAACACAAAUUGUAAACUUC